AUAAAUAUAAAUUAAGUAUUUUCUGUGUCAUUAGUACAUUUCUUUGUUAUAAAAGCUAUUUAUUUUACGUUAUUCAAGUGGGUCUUUCUUUUACCUACCGCAGCGGCUGCCAAGCCAUGGCAGCUAUUGCACACAGCGACCUCAUCACAUUAUUGGCUUACAUAACCCGAAACGUUGAGGCAAAUCCAAAACAGACAGCAAUCAGCAUCAAUGUGUGCGCUGCAGCUCUUCAUUCAACGACGACAGAGGCAGAGGCAGCGUCUGGACCAACGUGUGCCGCCGCGCUUCAUCUCUGAUAAGCGGCAACUGCACCUACAGCGAUAUGUUUUCGCGAUCACCAGGCAGAGAUUUGCUGGCGAUAACGACUCAAGUGUCACACGCCCACAUUUUUGGAGCAGCGGGCCAGAGGUUGCCGUUGCCGUUGCCGCUGCCUGGACCCAUGCCCAUGCAUUUAGCUGAAGCCAUUUGCACAUGCGCCACGCCAAUAAACUUGUACCCACCACCGAGGCACGCUUUGAUCCUCAUCCACAGUCUCCGACUUGAGCUCCAGCAACUCAAAGGGGGUCGGCACACGCUUGCCGCGUUUCGUUUUCUCUUCUUUGCUUUUGCGGUCUGGGCUGUGUUGCCCAGUCUGCCGCCGUCUCCUGUCCUGGCUUGGCUUUCUGGCCUGGGCUGGCCUGGCCUGGCCGGGUCUGGGCACUGCGCAUAAAUCGACGGACCCAGCGAGCGCCGGCGGCAAUUAUCGCGAUAUGAUAAACAAAUAUUUUUGCAUCUAACCCACGUCGCCGACUGAGGACCAACAGUUUCUGGCAUUCUGGCGCUUAAUUAUGAACUCUGUGCCUGGCUCUUUUUUUUUUUUUUGGAGGGUUUUUCUUUUUUGUAAUAUGUGUGUGUAGUUAAGAGCUUUACGCGUGGCCGAAUGCACUUUUACCUGGCUGGCAAAGUACCUGGCACUGUCGAGGGCUUGGCCUGGCCCAAGUUGUUGCAAGUAUGCAAUUUAGAAGCUUAUCGCUCUUCGGAUACGAAUCGGUCGGCGUUUUGGCUGCAUGCGAAGUGGGUGGAGGAAUGAUAUAAAAAUUAAAUAUGGCUCUAUUUGAAUAUUAAUAUUUGUAUACUCUAAAAAAGGGCAUAUUAACUAUGAAAUGUGUGUGGCAGCUAAAAUAAUGCCGUUGAUUCUAUAAUGUAUUUAUGAUCUUGGACAAUUUGAAGCAAAGCUAUUUUGUUAAAACUCUG